CCUACGGGAGGCAGCAGUGGGGAAUAUUGCACAAUGGGGGGAACCCUGAUGCAGCGACGCCGCGUGCGGGAUGAAGGCCUUCGGGUUGUAAACCGCUUUCAGCAGGGGCGCGGUACCUGCAGAAGAAGCGCCGGCUAACUACGUGCCAGCAGCCGCGGUAAUACGUAGGGCGCGAGCGUUGUCCGGAAUUAUUGGGCGUAAAGAGCUCGUAGGCGGCCUGUUGCGUCCGCUGUGAAAUCCCGGGGCUUAACCCCGGGCGUGCAGUGGAUACGGGCGGGCUUGAGGCAGGCAGGGGAGAACGGAAUUCCCGGUGUAGCGGUGAAAUGCGCAGAUAUCGGGAGGAACACCGGUGGCGAAGGCGGUUCUCUGGGCCUGUCUGACGCUGAGGAGCGAAAGCGUGGGGAGCGAACAGGAUUAGAUACCCUUGUAGUC
rnacentral:rRNA from 1 species